rnacentral:rRNA from 1 species
AGUGAACGCUGGCGGUAGGCCUAACACAUGCAAGUCGAACGGCAGCACAGUAAGCUCUUGCUCUUACGGGUGGCGAGUGGCGGACGGGUGAGGAAUACAUCGGAAUCUACUUUUUCGUGGGGGAUAACGUAGGGAAACUUACGCUACUACCGCAUACGACCUACGGGUGAAAGCAGGGGAUCUUCGGACCUUUCGCGAUUGAAUGAGCCGAUGUCGGAUUAGCUAGUUGGCGGGGUAAAGGCCCACCAAGGCGACGAUCCGUAGCUGGUCUGAGAGGAUGAUCAGCCACACUGGAACUGAGACACGGUCCAGACUCCUACGGGAGGCAGCAGUGGGGAAUAUUGGACAAAGGGCGCAAGCCUGAUCCAGCCAUACCGCGUGGGUGAAGAAGGCCUUCGGGUUGUAAAGCCCUUUUGUUGGGAAAGAAAAGCAGCAGGUUAAUACCCCGCUGUUCUGACGGUACCCAAAGAAUAAGCACCGGCUAACUUCGUG